rnacentral:rRNA from 1 species
AUUGAACGCUGGCGGCAGGCCUAACACAUGCACGUCGAACGAGUGGCGGACGGGUGAGUACUGUCUGGGAAACUGCCCGAUGGAGGGGGAUAACUACUGGCAACGGUAGCUAAUACCGCACACCAUCGUAUGCCCCCAUAUGGGAUUAGCUAGUAGGUGGGGUAACGGCUCACCUAGGCGACGAUCUCUAGCUGGGCUGAGAGGAUGACCAGCCACACUGGGACUGAGACACGGUCCAGACUCCUACGGGAGGCAGCAGUGGGGAAUAUUGCACAAUGGGCGAAAGCCUGAUGCAGCCAUGCCGCGUGUAUGAAGAAGGCCUUCGGGUUGUAAAGUACUUUCAGCAGGGAGGCGUUACUGACAGAAGAAGCACCGGCUAACUCAGUGCCAGCAGCCGCGGUAAUUC